GUAACAUGUCGUCGUUCGGUAGGAGGAUCGGGUCCUGAUAAGACAAUUCGAGAAGGUCCGGGAACCAGGGCUGACUCGGCCAGAGGGGCGUCAGCAGGGUCAGUCGAACCCUUCGUCUGCGAAGGUGAUUGAGAACUCUGGCAAUCAUGGCGAAUGGGGGAAAGGCAUAUGCCCCUUGUUGUGGCCAGUGCUGAGUGAAGGCAUCUACCGCUAAGCAAUCCGGGUCCGGUAGCCAGCUGUAGAACCUGGCGGGACCUGUCGGUUGUUUCGUGAGGCAAAGAGGUCCAAUAGAAAGGGUCCCUUCUGGUCUUGUAGGUGUGCGAAUAUUUGCGGAUCCAGUUGCCAGUUGCUGGCAUCCCUCCAAUGACGGGAAUACCAAUCCGCCAUGAGGUUCGUCUCCCCCGGCAGGUGUUCUGCCCGUAGUGUGAUA